UACGUAGGGGGCAAGCGUUGUCCGGAAUCAUUGGGCGUAAAGGGCGUGUAGGCGGUUCGGUAAGUCGGCUGUGAAAGUCCAGGGCUCAACCCUGGGAUGCCGGUCGAUACUGCCGGACUAGAGUUCGGAAGAGGCGAGUGGAAUUCCCGGUGUAGCGGUGAAAUGCGCAGAUAUCGGGAGGAACACCUAUGGCGAAGGCAGCUCGCUGGGACGUUACUGACGCUGAGACGCGAAAGCGUGGGGAGCAAACAGG
rnacentral:rRNA from 1 species